rnacentral:rRNA from 1 species
UGAGGAAUAUUGGUCAAUGGGCGAGAGCCUGAACCAGCCAAGUAGCGUGCAGGAUGACGGCCCUAUGGGUUGUAAACUGCUUUUAUGUGGGGAUAAAGUGCGUGACGUGUCAUGCAUUGCAGGUACCACAUGAAUAAGGACCGCCUAAUUCCGUGCCAGCAGCCGCGGUAAUACGGAAGGUCCGGGCGUUAUCCGGAUUUAUUGGGUUUAAAGGGAGCGUAGGCUGUCUAUUAAGCGUGUUGUGAAAUUUACCGGCUCAACCGGUGGCUUGCAGCGCGAACUGGUCGACUUGAGUAUGCAGGAAGUAGGCGGAAUUCAUGGUGUAGCGGUGAAAUGCUUAGAUAUCAUGACGAACUCCGAUUGCGCAGGCAGCUUACUGUAGCAUAACUGACGCUGAUGCUCGAAAGUGCGGGUAUCAAACAGG